rnacentral:rRNA from 1 species
GAUGAACGCUGGCGGCGUGCCUAAUACAUGCCAGUCGAGCGAACAGAUGAGGAGCUUGCUCCUCUGACGUUAGCGGCGGACGGGUGAGUAACACGUGGAUAACCUACCUAUAAGACUGGGAUAACUUCGGGAAACCGGAGCUAAUACCGGAUAAUAUAUUGAACCGCACGGUUCAAUAGUGAAAGACGGUUUUGCUGUCACUUAUAGAUGGAUCCGCGCCGCAUUAGCUAGUUGGUAAGGUAACGGCUUACCAAGGCAACGAUGCGUAGCCGACCUGAGAGGGUGAUCGGCCACACUGGAACUGAGACACGGUCCAGACUCCUACGGGAGGCAGCAGUAGGGAAUCUUCCGCAAUGGGCGAAAGCCUGACGGAGCAACGCCGCGUGAGUGAUGAAGGUCUUCGGAUCGUAAAACUCUGUUAUUAGGGAAGAACAAAUGUGUAAGUAACUAUGCACGUCUUGACGGUACCUAAUCAGAAAGCCACGGCUAACUACGUG